rnacentral:piRNA from 1 species
UCAGUCAGCACUGUCAGCAUGGUUGUGCCA